GACGAACGCUGGCGGCGUGCUUAAUACAUGCAAGUCGAGCGAAAGGACGCGACGUUUGCUUCUUUGACGUUAGCGGCGGACGGGAGAGUAACACGUGGAUACCCCCCUUAUAAGUCUGGGAUAAUUUGGGGAAACCGGAGAUAACACGGGAUAAUAUCUUGAACCGUAUGGUUCAAAAGUGAAAGACGGUCUUGCUGUCACUACUAGAUGGAUCCGCGCUGCAUUAGCUAGUUGGUAAGGUAACGGCUUACCAAGGGAAGGAUGCAUAGCCGACCUGAGAGGGUGGUCGCCCACAUGGGAGCGGGAACACCGUCAAUGCUACUACGAGAGGGAGCAGUAGCGAAUGGUCCGCAAUAGUCGAAAGCAUGGCAGAGUGACGGCACGUGAGUUAUGGAAAUGUUCGGUUCGUAAAGCUCUGUUAUUGGGGAUAAACAUAUUUGGAAGUAACUGUAGAGUGCUUGACGGUACCUAGUCAGAAAGCCACGGCUAACUACGUG
rnacentral:rRNA from 1 species